AUAUUGGGAUGCGGGAGCUUGAGUGAAUCAGGCUGAGAUUGCAGCUGUAUCCGCUGCUGACCGGGAAUCUGAUCUGGAUAAUGCCAGCGUAGAGAAUUCGCGAUAGAAGCCC
rnacentral:ncRNA from 2 species